rnacentral:snRNA from 1 species
AUUACUUAAACCGUUUCAAGCGAAAUGGCAAGCAAGCCGCAACUAACUUAUUUUUGAAAACGGGAGUUGGAACGGGGCUCGCCCUGUCCACUCCACGCAUCGUUCUGGUAUUGCAAUACUUCCAGAAACGGUGCACGCGCU